GUCCAUAAAUGCAAAAUACAUGCUAACAUAUUCUACAUUCUAAUUCAUAAACAAAAAAAAUCUACAUUUUCAAUAAAUUAAUGAAAAACCAUUUCUUAACAUUCUCAGUAAUUUCUGACCGUUAAACAAAUUCUAAAUCUUCAAAAAAAAAGGGAAAAUUGCUCCCAUAUUUAAAAGGAGAAAAAUAAAAUAAAAUAAAAAAACUCACAAUAUGAUUAAAAAUAUUUAGAAAUUGACCCUUUUAACCUCCAAACUUGCUGAUCUUCUCCUUCUCCAUCCCUUGGAGAAAGCUUACAAAGACUCUCAUGGCUUUAAUUUGGCACUGCAAAGCCAAAAUAUAACCAGCGGUCUCUUGAAAUAACAUGUCAACCCCAAGUGACUCACCUCCAGGCACUAUCCUCUGCAAUGCCCAAAUCUUUCUCUCCACUUCUUCUUUCUCAUCAUCAUCAUCUUGACUGCUUCCACUCAUCACCCCAUGAUCCUUUUCUUGAAUCUUCAUUUUUCUUCUAUUCCUUCUUGUUUUGCGGUGAGUCUCCGGUCUCCUUCCUCGUCGGAAACCCACUAAAGAUUCAUGCACUGCGUUUUCACCCUCAGUUUUUUCGUGGGUUGUCCUUUCCUUUUUGUGAAAUGCGGGUAUGGCUGCUAGGUUUAAACUAUUAUCCAUGGAUGCACAGUAGAAGCCUGAAGAACAAAGAAGAAGAAGGGUUAUUGCUAAAUGCUAAGAAUGAGCUGAGGUUGUUGAAUUAUUGUUGUGUUUCAGAAAUGUCAAUGCCAACGAAGCUGAGCCCACCUUUAUUCGGCGUCCUUGUUUUGGAUUGUAGUGUGGAGGUGAAAGGCACUCGUUUUUUAUGCGCGUGGUCGUUUUGAGACAUCUAGUGGCGAC
rnacentral:misc_RNA from 1 species